rnacentral:rRNA from 1 species
AUGCUCGGUAAGCACUUCCGCCGUGACUCUAAGGUCGUCGUCGACCAGGCCCUCGCCUACGUCGACAGCCAGCUCAAGCUCGCCGGCAACGGCGAGGAGGUGUGGGUCUUCGACAUCGACGAGACCACCCUCUCCAACCUCCCCUACUACGCCAAGCACGGCUUCGGGGCUACGCCGUUCAAUGCUACGAGCUUCAACGCAUAUGUGCUGGAGGGGAGCGCACCACCGCUGCCGGAGACAAAGCGGCUGUACAACAAGCUGCGCUCGGUCGGCAUCAAGCCAGUGUUCCUCACCGGCAGGACUGAGGACCAGAGGGCCAUCACCAUCACCAACCUCCGCCGCCAGGGGAUCUCUGGGUGGAUGAACCUGCUGCUGAAGCAGCCGGGGUUCAAGGGCUCUGCGGUGACCUACAAGUCCGGCGAGAGGCAGAAGCUGCAGGACGCUGGGUAUGUCAUUGUUGGCAACUUCGGCGACCAGUGGAGCGACAUCCUUGGCGCGCCCGCACCUUCAAGCUACCUGACCCCAUGUACUACAUCGGCUCGGCUAGGCUGUUAA